rnacentral:lncRNA from 1 species
CUGGCGCCCGGCACCCACGUGCGGUAACCGCGGCUCCUCGAGAGCUCCAGGGAUGCGGAUCUACAGUAAGGGCUGUGGCCAGAUGAAUGAAUGCACAUUUUUUAGUGGGCAGAAAGAUGUUAGAAUUCAUGAAUUAGAAUAAGCACAAAGGAGGGCGAGAGGGGAGGCCGUGGAAGCCGCAUUCCUCCCCUUGCCUUGGGCGCCCACCCCCGAAGGGGCGCGUCCCCUCCCUGCUCCACUGCACGUGGGUGUUUAACCAGGGGAUAUCCAGUGCCUCAAGCACCACGACCCGGGAGAAAACUGAGUUGAGAAGGGUCCAUUCAAGAAUUGUGCCCACAAUAUACCAGGCACUUGUCCAGACCUGCAUCGUCCAAUGCCCACCUCGACCUCCCAAAGUGUUGGGAUUAGAGGCGUGAGCCACCGCGCCCUGCCUGCAUGUGGCUAUUGAGAUGUGCUGUAUGAUACACACCGGACUUUGAAGACUCAGUGUGAAAAAUAAAAAGAAUUUUAAGAGGGGUGGGGGUCGAGGGGAGGCAGAGCAGUAGGACAAAUAGCUAAUGCACGCAGGGCUUAAAACCUAGACAACAGGUUGAUGGGUGCAGCAAACCACCAUGACACAUGUUUAUCUAUAUAGCACCUACAUGUUCUGCACUUGUAUCCUGGAACUUAAAAUUAGAAAAAAAAAAUAAUAAAAGCCAACAUGGCAUUCAUUACUGCCAAAAAAAUUAAAACACAUUGUUAAUUUUGUAUAUUGAUUACAGGUUGAACUGAUAAUAUUUUGAAUAUAUUGGGUUAAAGAAAUACAUUUAAAAUUAGUGGCUAGGCACAGUGGCUCAUGCCUGUAACCCCAGCACUUUGGGAGGCUGAGGCGGGUGGAUCACCUGAGGUCUGGAGUUCGAGAUGAGCCUGGCCAACAUGGUGAAACCCCAUUUCUACUAAAAAUACAAAAAUCAGCCGGGUGUGGUGGUGAGUGCCUGUAAUCCCAACUACUUGGGAGGCUGAGGCAGGAGAAUCGUUUGAACCCGGGAGGUGUAGGUUACAGUGAGCCGAGAUUGUCCCACUGCACUCCAGCCUGGGUGACAGAGUGAGACUCCAUCUUAAUAAUAAUAAUAAAACUAUUUCUUGCUGUUUUACUUUUCUAAUGUGACCACCAGAAAAGUUUAGAUGGCUUGUGUGACUCUCAUCAUUGAACGGAGCUGUUCUAAACAUGGGUAAGACAACGCAGAGCUUCGGUUGCAGGACAGAGAAUGAAAUAAUAGACCCAUAAGACAGAUAAGUGACUGAUUGUGACUGCUAGGGUGUUUACAGCAUAGGCCGGUGACAGGAACGAGGAGUGUGGGGAUGAGAGCCGACGUGGGCGAGAGUGCAUGCAAUGCAGGGUCAGACGUUGGAUUCAUCUCUCAGGAGUUGAAAAAGGUGGCGUUCCUG